CGAACAAUUUGGUACUAAAACCUAUAAAUUCAAUCUCCCAUCAAUGUUUAUAAUAGAUUUUGGACGUAUCAUUCACGUGGUGUCCUUUUUCCUCCCUUCUCUUUUCCUGUAAAUACUGUUUAGAAGCUUUUGACUUGGGUCAAGAUUCCUAUUAUUGCAUCAUGACGUGCCAUAAAUCAUUAUAUGUAUCAGAGGGGGGUAGUUUCCGUUCUUCUGCACCUACUAUGAUUUUUCCCUUUCUUCCCACCUCUUUCUUGCUUCUUUCUUGGUUCUACCAUGGCCAUUGAAGCCACUCUGGAGAGAAUCCAGAGAUGAUCCGUGUUACUCCUCCUCUUGAUGGAGGAAACUAUCACUCUUGGUGCAGAGGGAUGAAGCGAGCCCUUCUCUUCAACAACAAACUGAAGUUUCUCGACGGUAGAAUUGAAAGAACGCUUCUCGCAAGGAGAUCAAGACACCUUAAAACGAAGAGUGAAUUAAAUGCAAACGGGUGAGUCCGCUAAGUCACAUACGUCGAAAGGUAACUGGAUCUUGGACAACUGAGCCACAAAUCAGAUUUGUCAAUAAUUUGUGCUUUUUGCCAAUGUCUAAUCAUCUAUGCAAUAUCAUUAUCACAUUUUAUGGAAGCUGGAUCAUGAAUGAGGUGGUUGUUACGUACCUUUAUUGGACGACAAUAAUCAAUAUAAGUGACAACUUUUUUGACUCCACACUGGACAAUUUCACUUAUUUGAGUUUGGAGUUCAUUGAAUGAUAUAUUGUGAUUGAUUGAGGUGUUGACUUUUGCAUCUGAUCGAAAUUUGAGCCCAUACCAAGACCGACUUUCAAUGAUUCCAACGCCUUUUAAUGGACCUCUGAAAUAGAUUAUUGUCGGUGAGUUCAGAGUGUCAGUUUUGGGUGUCGUAGAUGAAGAUGAUGCAUUUGUUGAAAUCAUAAGAGCCAUGAUUUGGUUCGGAGAUCUUACCCAUGUAACAUAAAUUUCCAUGACUACGUUAAUGGGAAAGUGAGACUUACAUGUUAUCAUUUGUGUCACAUAUUCGUCUGAGCGUAGCUUAAAUGCUUCGUAUGAGAUUGUUUGAUCACCAUGAAUUGUGGGUCAGCGGAAGUACAACUUGUUGAUGGGUGUGUUAGUUGGUUUGUUAGAUGUUAUGUAAACAUUUUCCUUAAGGAGUUUGUGGGUGCAAUAUGGGAUGCGAAACAAUUUUGGAUGCUGACAUAUAAAUUCGACCCCAUGAUCACCAUUCCUAAUUUCGUCGUCUUGAAAUAAGAUAACAAGGUAUGGGUUAAAUAGGUUUUUUGUGGCUGUGGUGUUCAUGCCAAAAACUUCAUUAUCGUAUGUGUUCAUGUUUUCUAGGGGAUGAAGUUUCAAAUGAGUUGAAAUUGAAUGGGAAUGAGGAUAUGACUUCAGAAGAAAUAAGAAGUAGGAGGAAGCUAUGUCCUAAGGUUAUGUGCAAAACUACAAGAUGUUUCCUUGUAUUUAUAGUGGCAAUAUGUGAAGUGUCGUCUAAUUGUUGAAAAUGAGUUGAAAAGGACAAAAUAUUCAUAUGGGAUAUUUUUUUUUAUAAUUUAUUCAAUAUUCAAAGUAGAUAAUGAAAUACAAUUUUAGUUAAUAUUUAUCUAUGUCCUCUAGUCCCACAAGUUGGUCUUCUUCGUUGCUGUUGACCUCGUCUUUGUUGUUGUGGUGGGGAGUCUGUGUGUCUCUGUCUUCAUCACUGUGUUGAGUUUCAAUUGACUGUUCUUGAUAUUGGAAAUCUACGAACAAUUGAUAAACGUUUUAUGAUGAAGUAGCGUGUUGGUAUGCAAACGGUGGAAUCAUUGUCGAGGUUCCAAAAUAAUGCGAAGGACCCACACUAAAUGUUGAAGGACCUGCAUUGAACGAUGUUGAUGGUGGAAAAUAACCGUAAGAGCUUCCAACUUGAGGAUAUGAUGAUGUCAGUGGGAUGUGUUGUGGGAAGCUUGGAUACAGAGAUGGAGAUGGAUAGUGUAGGUGGUCAAAAGAAGACCUUUGUGGGUCAUGGUACGAUGGUGAUGAACGGUGUGCAGGUGGUGGUUGAAACUGUUGUUGAGGAUCCGUGUCAUACUGUUGAAUACAAUGUUUAGGUUAGGUUGGUAGGAAAAAACAAACAUACAUAAAUUAAAAAUAUCAAAAUAUUGUUGUACCUCUUCGAACGUUGACUCUUCAAUGGGAGCAACAUAGCAAAUGGUAUGACUUAUAUACCAUUGCAUGAACUCGGAUUCUUCGUGCAAGUGACCAUUUAUGUUGAAUGGAAUACCGUUAAAUACACGAUUGUGAAGGUCAUUCCAUAAUGCAAUCCACUGUUGAUGGUGUUCUUGCCAAUUCCAAUCUGUGCGUCCUCUCAUAUCCUGUUUAUGUACAUCAUCUAUAUUCAUUGAUGUUUAUGGGGCAGUCUUUCGAAAUCCAAAUUGACGUAUGACACGCUCCGGUUGUUGGUAUUCUACAAUAGAGAAGCAUAUGAGAGGUACAACUGCCCUACAAGUGAGGGAUAGUUCGACUUGAAUCAUCUGACGAAUAUAAUCACAUUUGUAUGAAGUCCAUAAGAACUGAAAUAUUGAAAUUAUUGGUUACAAUACAAUUUAUACAUUUAUUCCAAAAGACAACACAUACAUAUACGAAGUGUUCAAUACUUGUCUAGGUGAGAGGUCGUCCAAAUUUUGACGAAAUUGUUGUAGAGUUGUGGUGUCAUGGAAUAUUAACUGCGUUGUUCGACACCAUAUUUUGCCAACGAAAAACAACACUGGUAGAAAUGUCUUUCGAAGUGACUUCAUGUAUUUGUGGAGAAAUACAUGUCAUUCUUUCCCAUGCCCAGCACUGUAACAAUAUCAUGCACCCUUCAAUAUUGUCUUGAUCGACCCUUAUACCAUGAUCGAGGGCACGAUACAAGCAAGAAAGCACUGCAGAUGCCCAACUAUAGUUUGAGACGUUCUACAAGUCAUCUAAAAGGGGCAAAUACAUCAAAUGAACCAUACUUGCAGAUGUAUCUUACAUUAUUAUGAUCCCAAUUAUCAUCAACAUAAACGCUCUAAUGUAUUGUUGAAUAACCUCAUUAGUGGCAUCGUAAGGCAACUGGCGAAAUGUAUUAUUCAGCCAAGACAAUUUAAUUAUGUUGUCUCUGACAUUGUUCUCUGGAGGAACAUCUCCUAAUAGUUGUUG